GAUUACCUAUAUACCGUGGUGGGUGGCCGCGUUAUAAUAACUUGGACAAUAUUUUGAGCCCACGUCCAAAAUUGCCUAUAACAGCAAUUACACGAGAUCCAUUCUGGUACGACUUGGGUGAUUUGGGACUUCGCCCCUUCCGAGCAACUUCCGAAUUGCCUCCGUCUUUGCGUGACUCAUAUUUAUCACCCAUCAAGCGUAGAUACCUUUGGACAAAACACCCCAUGCGUCCAUUCGAGGAUGAAGCUUGGCUCGACAUCCCUUGAAGUUCGAAAUGUGCACACCUUUGCCAUUUAAUAUGUUUUUAUGUUAAUUUCUUUAAAAUGCUUUGACUUUGACCAGAAUCACGAUUCAUUUACCUCUUUGAUCUUUUAUUACUAUAUUCGAAUCGAAGACUCAGGGCUCAUACCCGAUAAAUCGAUUGAUACAACCAACUAUGACCAACUUUAGGACCAUCAAGUCGUUCAAUCGAAAGAUGAAUACAAAAAAUUGAAAAUGAACGGUAAUCUCUACAAAAUAUUACGCUGUCAAUAUUAUAUAUGUAGAGAUGAACAUAUCACAAUCAAGUUUUCUUUUAUCAAGAACCUGUUAAAAUCAUUUUUAUAUUAUUUUGUUUUAAACCAAAAAAGUUUACUUCUCAAAAAAUAACAGACAUCAUAAUAAAAUUGAUAGUAAAACCAAA